CUACUUCAGAGAAGCAGAAGGGCUUUCCCCACCAAUCUUUCUGAGUCAAACCAGUAAUUCUAGGCUAAAUGCUGGAACGUAUGGGGCUAGGCUGUCAUUUUGCCGUGUAGUCACUGGAUAUGGAAAACCACAGUAUAGUGAAGAUAAUAAGUAAUCGUGAAUGUUGAGCUAUGUAUGCUUAUUUGACUUGGUGAUGGAGGAGCCGAAGAGACUGUACAGUCAAACCUAAAUGCUGCACCCAGUUUUUUCAGCUGUUUUGUGCUUCUUUGCAUAUCAACGGUUGAACAGAACAUUUGGAGAAGAUCAAGUGGCUGACUGAAGAGAAGGUCGAGCUGAGGGCACAGCUGGCUCUACAAUCAGGAGCCAUAAGGAAGAAUCCUUCCAACCGGGAUGCCACUGACGAGGCUGUCCAGAACCAGGUCCCAGAAAGGGACAGCUGACCGUGCAGGUGGGAGAAGCGUUGCGGCGGUACAAGGGACCUGCCGUGAAUAUGAAUGACAUCUCCAGCACCACCAAUAUUGCUGCUAAUCUACAGUAGUCUUUAUAAAAAAUAUUAUAACUGCUGCUAUGUACAGUGUUAUUUAUAUAUGAUCGCAUUAUCCUUAAUAUAUUUAUAGCUCUGUGUGAAUGUUCUUAAUUCUGACUGUAGUUGUAGUGUGUUAUGCCACCAUUCAUAAGCUUAUUGCACUGAUGUAUCUACGAUUCAAUACAUUUUGAUUGCUGCUACGUCACACUUAUGUAUAUUACUGCCAUUCUAGCCCUUGUUUAUUUUGUAUUAUAUUAUGUUUAUUUUGUACUUUUUCACAUUCAAAUACUGUAAUUUUACUAUAUUGGUUGCUGGAUACGUUUUCUUGCACUAUUUGAUUUUUCUAUUCAUUUGCACAUGUUUAUUUUGUAUCUUGCACUAUUUGAAAUACAUUUUUCAGAUUUUAUUCAGUUCAUUGUCAUUUGUGAUAUGUGAUAAAUUAUUGUAAAGGAUUACUAUGAAUACAACCUAAUAUUGGGGCGUGAGGCGUCCCGCUGGGUUUAGUGCUGAAAAGUAGCUAGCUGCCGUCGGGCCGCUGGUGAGCCCCUGAUCAGGGUAUUGUUGGAAGGCAAUGUAAUGAAAGCGGCCCAAUGGUGGCCCGACUGCGACCCACGCUAUAUAAAAAAAAAAAAACAUUUUCA
ensembl:lncRNA